ACACUCUUAAAAGUUGGAGUUAGUUGUGAUAGGGGCAAAAAUGGCCCCUAGCUAGCUCCAUCCCAAAGUUCUAUAAAUUGGCUGCUACCCAUAUCUAAUUUCCUUCACUCAACUGUCUAGCAUUUCCUCUCUCGCUUGUCUUUCCUCUCAAAGAUUCAAUUUUUAAUGAAAAUGGCUUUCACUGGGUUUUUCUUGGUGGGUUUUCUAGCAAUGGUCUCAUCUGUUCAUGGGUAUAGUGGUGGAGGUUGGACUAAUGCUCAUGCUACCUUCUAUGGGGGUGGUGAUGCUUCUGGGACAAUGGGUGGAGCUUGUGGCUAUGGGAACUUGUAUAGCCAAGGGUAUGGGACAAACACUGCAGCUUUGAGCACAGCUCUGUUCAACAAUGGGUUGAGCUGUGGGUCUUGCUAUGAGAUCAAGUGUGUGAGUGACCCCAGGUGGUGUUUGCCUGGCUCCAUUAUGGUUACAGCCACCAAUUUCUGCCCACCAAACAAUGCUCUUCCUAACAACAAUGGGGGUUGGUGCAACCCUCCCCAGCACCACUUUGAUCUCUCUCAGCCUGUCUUCCAGCACAUUGCCCAAUACAAAGCUGGAAUAGUGCCUGUGGCUUACAAAAGGGUACCCUGUAGUAGAAAGGGAGGCAUAAGGUUCACCAUCAAUGGCCACUCUUACUUCAACCUUGUCCUGGUCACAAACGUUGGUGGUGCUGGUGAUGUCCAUGCUGUUUCCAUCAAAGGGUCCAGAACUGGUUGGCAAGCAAUGUCAAGGAACUGGGGUCAGAACUGGCAGAGCAACACUUACCUCAAUGGCCAAGCCCUCUCAUUCAAGGUCACCACCAGUGAUGGCCGUACUGUGGUCUCUAACAAUGUUGCUCCAGGUGGUUGGUCCUUUGGGCAGACCUACAGUGGUGCACAAUUCUAGACACAACAAACCCAUUUGUGUCUUUCCCCUUAAGUUUUAGCCUAAUAGUUUGCUAAGGAUUAUAUUUAUGAUUAUAUAAUAUUUUACUAAGUACUACCAAAUUAGUAUACUAGGAUAUUAGAUUUAGUAUACUAAAUUUGUGGGGUCAGUAUAUAUUGGCCUCUCUUUGAGUCAGAAAUGUGAAGGGCUAAUUUUAAAUGGCUUUUCAUCAUUUUAAUUGGACCAAAUUGUUCUUAAGGGUACCCAUGGGGGACCCUUUUUGUUCUUGGGGUCUUUGUUUUUUGCUUCUGUUAUAUGUAUCAGAAGAUGGCAGAGGUGAUCUUUUACCACCCGCCAGUACCAGUAGUAUUUGAAAUAGUUCUAUAUCUCUAGGAUCAAUUUUUGCUUUUUUUUUUUUUUUUUUUUCGAAGGUCAUUGUAACGGCUUCUGCUGACUAAAAAUGUGUCAUGUGGUUGUUAUGUUUGAACCGUAUUGGAGAUUAUUAUAUAAGCCUAAAUUUCUAUUUUCUACUAGUAAUGAGAAGGGUUGCUAGUUUAUUUUAA